GUGGGGAAUAUUGGACAAUGGGCGAAAGCCUGAUCCAGCCAUGCCGCGUGUGUGAAGAAGGUCUUCGGAUUGUAAAGCACUUUAAGUUGGGAGGAAGGGCAGUAAGUUAAUACCUUACUGUUUUGACGUUACCGACAGAAUAAGCACCGGCUAACUUCGUGCCAGCAGCCGCGGUAAUACGAAGGGUGCAAGCGUUAAUCGGAAUUACUGGGCGUAAAGCGCGCGUAGGUGGUUCAGCAAGUUGGAGGUGAAAUCCCCGGGCUCAACCUGGGAACUGCCUCAAAAACUGCAUGACUAGAGUACGGUAGAGGGUAGUGGAAUUUCCUGUGUAGCGGUGAAAUGCGUAGAUAUAGGAAGGAACACCAGUGGCGAAGGCGACUACCUGGACUGAUACUGACACUGAGGUGCGAAAGCGUGGGGAGCAAACAGGAUUAGAAACCCUGGUAGUCC
rnacentral:rRNA from 1 species